UUUUUUCUAUACGCUUGCUUUUCGCGACAUUUUUUCAUGGGGCCCCAUGCGCGCUUUGUGUCGUCGCAAAGCACAUUACUUUUACUUCAUAUUAAUUGUACUCUAAAAUAUAUUUGUGCUGUAAUGUAAUGAAGUUGAAAUGAAGCUUGAAGAAGAAAGAUUUGGUAAAGUAUUAUUCACAAUAGGCAUUAUUACGUACACCAGUUUUUUUCUAGUUGACAUCAAAGAUGUGACGUCACGAAGUCGUGAUGACGCAACAGAAGAACUCACUUCAACCUGGUAUGUGACGUCACUGGAAUCAAGAUAACUGAGCGCGAUUUGGGAAUGAAGAAAAGCCGGUGUAUAUAUAAGCUGCAGAAGAAAAGCGCAAGACGAAGAGCAAAGACGAAGACGACGAUUGAGGAUGCCGGUUUGAAGUUUUGCUUAGGCUUAGGAGUUGCGUGUUGUUGGGGUGUGGUUGCUGGAGCACUCUUACAGUGUUGCCGGAUUUGUGCUUGUCUCUCAUUUUUGCUGCACCUAACGUGGACAGCUUUUUAGUUAGUCACUACUUUAGUGCAUUUUGCAUGUCUAUGAAAUAUAUGCAGUGAAACUAUGGCAAACAUCUUGCUGGAUCGGAUUUUGUUGUUGUACACUUCAUUGAGUGUUUCUUCUGCAAAGGUCGAAUCUUUUAGCGAUUCUGCAUUGUCCUAAUCACUCGAUAAGAACGACAUGUUGGUAGACAAAUACUUGAGUAAUAUCCACACGCUUUAUAAUAUACACGCAGUUAAACUUUUAUAUUUGAUAUCCCUCAUUUUUCAUUAGAUGAUUGUCCCCGUUAACCUAGCUGUAACUUUUUUUUAACCUAGCUAAAACUCUUUUUUUACAAAAGCUUAAUUGUGACGCUGGCCACGUUACAAUUACGCUAAACGUCUAUGGGUAUUUAAAUCCCAGCGUUCGGUGCGGUUAUGUCACUGUUUUAGACUGAGUUACGUUACGGUUGGGUUGUUGCGUAGACGUCGCCGCCAGUGAUGCUACGCUACUUUUAGGUCACUACCGGUACAGUGAUGCUACGCUCGGUUAUUUAGGUCACUUUUAGUGCGGUUCGUAACAACCUGAUGCAGUUUCAUGACGGUCGAAGCGGUGCUUAACAUCCGAACGAUAUUAUAUUGCGUGAAGAUACGACGAGAGUAUCGCGGUAUCAAAAUGGCGACUUGUCAGGUGAUUGGGACAUGCGGAGCCGUUAUUGGCUUCGACUCCUUGUGGUCGGACAUUUAAUAAUUUGUACACUGCAGCUGAUUAUCCUUCAGGAUUUAAACCAAAUUUUCUUUGAACAUGUUUCAAUGAUUAUGGCCGCGUUAAUUAUUUUUUGUAAUCGUUCCAUUUUUGGAUUUGAUUGAGCUGUUGUGUGUAUUGCAUGAAUUUUGCACUUUUUUGUAUUUUGCCCAUUGUUGUAAUAUUUUUGUCUUUUUUAUUUGUGUCCGCACAUGUUUAUGUGCAUUUGUUGUAGUAUUUUUGUCUAUUGGGGUUUCUUUAACCUGCGUGGACAGUAACAUCCCGCAAGGGUUUCUCACCUAAG